UCUAUCACCUGGGCCCUCUGCUAGACAGUGUUAUAUCUGUAGGGCUGUUCUCUAGAGAAAACUGUUAUGAAAUUGAAGCUGAGCGAACGCCGCCCAACAAAGUCCGAAAACUUCUAGAAAUUGUUGACGCACAGAUGGAUGAAAGUGGUGCCUCUAGUUUCAUGGAGUGUCUGAAGAAAUGCAAGAAACAUUACCCGCGUCUACAAACCUGGUUGACCUCAGAAGAAGGUAUGCGAUGACUGAAGUUGCAUUCUGUCUUAAAACAUAAAUGCAGUAGCAUAACGUAAAUACUAAAAUGUUUUGCGCUCUCAUAUUAGAUCACUCCCAACCACCAGGCAUUAAGCAAGGUCCAACAGGUAGGACACAGAAUUUUCACUUUUACUUAAUAUAUAUGUAAUGUCUCCCAUUCCUCAUCAUUGUCCUGUCUCCAUGCAGAACGUCAGCUACAGGCCCAGUUUAAUGUUCUGUGCUCACGCUUGGGCUGUUCUGUUCUGCCGGUCUCCUACGAUCUCUUCUCCAGCGGCAUUCUGACUCAGUUGGAACUGGAGAAAAUCCAAGCAAUACCCAUCCCAACCCAGCAAGCACAAACUCUGCUGUCCAUCUGCCUGAAGAAAGGAGAAAAAGUGUGCAUGAGCUUUUACACAGCGCUACAGAAUGAAGACGAGCAACUAGCUGAGGAACUUAAUGUAAACAGUUUGGUGGAAGACCUUGAUAAAGAACCAGAAGGCAGCAUUGUGCCGAUAGCAGUGGAGGAAACUAGAGAUCACUUGAGAGCAGCUUUACCUCUGUCAGGUAGUUCACAUUUCAACAUUAUACUCAUUUUGUUGAAAACUAUGAGAGA
rnacentral:lncRNA from 1 species